UACGUAGGGUGCUAGCGUUGUUCGGAAUCAUUGGGCGUAAAGCGCGUGUAGGUGGUCAGUAAAGUUGGGUGUGAAAUCCCUCGGCUCAACCGAGGAAGUGCACUCAAAACUAACUGGCUUGAGAGUGGUAGAGGAAGGUGGAAUUCCUAGUGUAGAGGUGAAAUUCGUAGAUAUUAGGAGGAAUACCGGAGGCGAAGGCGGCCUUCUGGACCAUUUCUGACACUGAGACGCGAAAGCGUGGGUAGCAAACAGG
rnacentral:rRNA from 1 species